CAUGGGAAAACUGGGCACUCAUAGGAAAAUGCUGUCUGUUUUUAAGUUAUUUUUUAGCCUAAGUCAUAAAUGCUCUCACAUGUUGACUGGGGGCCUUAUCCUGAAAUCCAGACUUGUGUUUCAUUCUUAUGAAUUAUUCCAACAUAAGCCAGUGCUGGAGGCUGACUGUAAACAGGGGUUAGAGAAUUGAGCUGAUUUUGACCUAGCAAUGGAGCAUAACUCUGGAAACAUUUGCGGGAGAUACGGCACUUUCUGUCACGGACAGGCCAGCUGAAACUCUGAGGUUGUGCAUGGCAGUAGGCAUGCAGGGAUGUCUACCACUUUGCCUGGAACAGCACAUAAUAUACUGGCAUUUUGGAUCUGCAGGAGAAAACCAGAAUGUUUCCACCAUCAAAGGUCUCUUGGAGUUGAUGAAAGAAGGCUGGAACAGUCCUGGUUUUUGGACUUUCUUUUCUUAAGAGCCACAUUGAUACUUUCAGUUCUGUCCUCUUCAUGCCCAGCUGUGACAAGGUGGGAGCUGGAAGAUUCUUAUUAUUGCAUGGAGGAGCUGGGAUUUUUUCCUGGUACUGGCAGAAAUUUCUGAACCCCAGAUUUGCCAACUAAUCCAUAAAAGUGCUUUCUGGUGAAGACAGACACAUGAAUCUUACAGUGUGGUUCUUGAGAAGGCACUUUGAAAAUGGGAUUUACUGUUGAGGUGGAACACCAGAGGCUGUCACACCACUAAGCUGAGAGUAAACAGAGAAGAAAGCCCACAUGAGAAUGCCAUGAAAGUGGGUAUAAAUGAGGGAGGGAGUAAACUCUUGCAUCCAAACAGAGUUUAGCAUUUGCCUGUAACAUGCAGGUGCUUUGCCAGCAUGAAGAACAGAAAUGAGAAGUGAAAAUCUACAUCUCCAUGUUCAUCUUUCAGCAGGCUUCCAAGCAUGCACAUUUCGUUCAAAAUCACUACCAAGCUGUUUAUGAUACAUCUGUGCCAACUGCAAUGUUUUAUGUAGUCACUGAAGCCAAAUCACUGUGACCUGAUGUGACUCAGUUUUCUAAAAGGGUGCAUCUUGAGAAUUCUCAUUUUCAUCAGUUCAAAGUGAAACACUAGGAAAAGUGUUGGAAUGGAUCUGAAAACAGUGCAGCAUUCUUAUGCAGAGGCAAGACUGCCAUUCAGGCAAACACCAGAAGAAAAUCUGUCUUGGGUGUGUUUUUCAAAAUGAGUCUGAAAUGUUCG
rnacentral:lncRNA from 1 species